AUUCAAGGUUAUUCCCUCUCCUAGGGUCCAACUGAUUCCCCUCCCAGGAAUGUAAUAACUUGAAAGAAAACCUGCCAUAUCUGACAUCAUUGGGCAGCAUGGGAUGUGUAUUUCUUUUGGCUUUCUACAUACCUGCUAAGUUU